CUUGCCUGCCCAGUGACUGUAAGUUAAACGGCCGCGGUAUUUUGACCGUGCAAAGGUAGCGCAAUCACUUGUCUUUUAAAUGAAGACCUGUAUGAAUGGUGAAACGAGGGCUUAACUGUCUCCCCCCUCUAGUCAAUGAAAUUGAUCUAUCCGUGCAGAAGCGGGUAUAAUUAUACAAGACGAGAAGACCCUUUGGAGCUUAAGACAAAAGGGCAACUAUGUCAAAAACCACAAAAAAAAUCUUAAACCAAUUAAUACUGGUCCAAGUCUUCGGUUGGGGUGACCGCGGGAGAAAACAAAGCUCCCAUGCAGACGGGGGAACCCCCCUCAAACUAAAAAAAACAUUUCUAAGGCACAGAACAUCUGACCACAAAAAUCCGGCUUCAUGCCGAUCAACGGACCAAGUUACCCUAGGGAUAACAGCGCAAUCCCCUUCCAGAGUCCAUAUCGACAAGGGGGUUUACGACCUCGAUGUUGGAUCAGGACAUCCUAAUGGUGCAGCCG
rnacentral:rRNA from 1 species